GACAGGGACACAACAUGGCGGCGGGAUCUCUAACGCUCUCCUUCGAGGGACCACCACGGAGAUCCUAGUGCGGGACCCCGCCUCAGGGAAGUGGAAAGCAGGGGGACAACCUUCCUGCUUCUUUCUUUUCCGUCCAGUGUCGGCAAGGGGUUGUCACCGGCUUCCGCAUCCAAGAUGAAGAACUAUAAAGCAAUUGGCAAAAUAGGAGAGGGAACGUUUUCUGAAGUUAUGAAGAUGCAAAGCCUGAGAGAUGGAAACUACUAUGCAUGUAAACAAAUGAAGCAGCGCUUUGAAAGACUAGGGAAUUGAAAUUCGGAGAGAUCAAGUUCCCCACCUGGCCCGUUGCUACCCAACCUACACGUCGUGGAGCUGACUCUGAGCCCAGUGACGGGGUUUCACUGGACAGGCUCGUCUUGAACUCCUGACCUCAGGUGAUCCACCCGCUUCAGCCUCCCAAAGUGCUGGGAUUAUAGGUGUGAGCAACUGCACCUGGCCAGUUUAUGCCUCUUUAAUGCUGAGCAACAUUCAUUACAAUCUUGACAGAAAAUCUGGUUCUCUUGCACUAAUAUGUGAACUUAUGGACAUGAAUAUUUAUGAGCUAAUACGAGGUACGUAGA
rnacentral:lncRNA from 10 species